rnacentral:rRNA from 1 species
CAGCAGCCGCGGUAAUACGUAGGUGGCAAGCGUUGUCCGGAAUUAUUGGGCGUAAAGGGCUCGCAGGCGGUUUCUUAAGUCUGAUGUGAAAGCCCCCGGCUCAACCGGGGAGGGUCAUUGGAAACUGGGAAACUUGAGUGCAGAAGGGGAGAGUGGAAUUCCACGUGUAGCGGUGAAAUGCGUAGAGAUGUGGAGGAACACCAGUGGCGAAGGCGACUCUCUGGUCUGUAACUGACGCUGAGGAGCGAAAGCGUGGGGAGCGAACAGGAUUAGAUACCCCCGUAGUCCCUGUCUCUUAUAA